ACGUAGGGCGCAAGCGUUAUCCGGAAUUAUUGGGCGUAAAGAGCUCGUAGGCGGUUUGUCGCGUCUGCUGUGAAAUCCCGAGGCUCAACCUCGGGCCUGCAGUGGGUACGGGCAGACUAGAGUGCGGUAGGGGAGAUUGGAAUUCCUGGUGUAGCGGUGGAAUGCGCAGAUAUCAGGAGGAACACCGAUGGCGAAGGCAGAUCUCUGGGCCGUAACUGACGCUGAGGAGCGAAAGGGUGGGGAGCAAACAGG
rnacentral:rRNA from 1 species